UCUACACAGUCAGGUACAUCCCCAUGGGUUCUGGACUCUGGAGCUUCUUUUCAUAUGUCUUCUCAUUCUUCCGCUUUGUCCUCUCUUCGAUCGCUGGAUUCUCCUGUUCAUGUCUUCACUGCUGAUGGUACUCCACUUUCUGUUGCUAGUAGAGGCAAUCUUUCCACUCCUUCUUAUUCUGUUCCUGAUGUUGCUCAUGUUCCUCGACUUACCAUGAAUCUGUUUUCUGCUGGUCAACUUACUGAUUCUGGUUGUCGUGUCAUCCUUGAUGUUGACUCUUGUUCUGUCCAGGACCGUCGCACGCACACUCUGGUUGGGGCUGGCCCUCGCCGCCGUGAUUCUCAGGGUCUUUGGGAGUUGGACUGGCUUCAUGUUCCUUCCGCUGCCACCACCAUUGCCAGUUCCUCCGCUUCUGUCGCCUCUGUUACUGGUUCCUUCAAGCAGUGGCAUCAUCGACUUGGUCAUCUGUGUGGUUCUCGGUUGUCGUCUUUAGUUCGUCGAGGUCUUCUGGGGUCUGUCUCAGGAGAUGUCUCUUUAGAGUGUCAGGGUUGUCGUCUUGGCAAGCAGAUUCAGUUACCAUAUUCACAUAGUGAG
rnacentral:rRNA from 1 species